rnacentral:rRNA from 1 species
UGGCGGCAGGCCUAACACAUGCAAGUCGAGCGCUCUCUUCGGAGGGAGCGGCGGACGGGUUAGUAACGCGUGGGAACGUGCCCUUCUCUAAGGAAUAGCCACUGGAAACGGUGAGUAAUACCUUAUACGCCCUUCGGGGGAAAGAUUUAUCGGAGAAGGAUCGGCCCGCGUUAGAUUAGAUAGUUGGUGGGGUAACGGCCUACCAAGUCUACGAUCUAUAGCUGGUUUUAGAGGAUGAUCAGCAACACUGGGACUGAGACACGGCCCAGACUCCUACGGGAGGCAGCAGUGGGGAAUCUUGGACAAUGGGCGCAAGCCUGAUCCAGCCAUGCCGCGUGAGUGAUGAAGGCCUUAGGGUCGUAAAGCUCUUUCGCCUGUGAAGAUAAUGACUGUAGCAGGUAAAGAAACCCCGGCUAACUCCGUGCCAACAGCCGCGGUAAUACGGAGGGGGUUAGCGUUGUUCGGAAUUACUGGGCGUAAAGCGCGCGUAGGCGGACUGGAAAGUUGGGGGUGAAAUCCCAGGGCUCAACCCUGGAACUGCCUCCAAAACUAUCAGUCUAGAGUUCGAGAGAGGUGAGUGGAAUUCCGAGUGUAGAGGUGAAAUUCGUAGAUAUUCGGAGGAACACCAGUGGCGAAAGGCGGCUCACUGGCUCGAUACUGACGCCUGAAGGUGCGAAAGUGUGGGGAGCCAAACAGGAUUAGAUACCCUGGUGGUCCACACCCGUAAACGAUGAAAUGCCANUUCGUCGGGUAANCAUGCUUAUUCGGG